AGCAUGCUGUCGCUGGGGUGGCUCCAAGCCCUCUCCUCCCACCUGUGAGGUCUUUGCUGGUAUUUGGGUGUUUUACCUGGGAAGGGUGGAGGAGGUUCAGGAGCAGCUAGCCUGGGGCUCAGCCAAGGUUUACUUAGAGAUCGUGUGGUCCCCCAGUUUCCCACUGAGGAUACUCCUGGGGGGUGGGGGGUGGAGGAGGUGGAAGGGCUGCUGGCUGCAUAUAAGUCCCCACUCCUGACCAUCUUCAGAACUGCUCAUCAGUGCAGCAAGUAUCCUAACUGGGUUUCCAUCUGUGUAACUGGUGGGUUCUUAAUGAGUGUGAACAGUGACAUUAAAUGUCCUCAGUCAGGACUGAGACACUUACCACACCACAUGCACAGGUUUAAGAACCUGGGAAGUGCAGCUGGUACCCUAGUGAUGGGCUUCAGGCUUGACCCCUCCACAUUCUGGGGUCUAGCCACUCUUUAGCAUUUCUCGGGGCCCAGUGCUGACUCUAAGGGUUCCAUAAUCCAGCCUCCAUCUGCCUUUAGUGAGACCCACACUUCCAGGAUCCUACAGAGCAAGGUGUUGUGGGUGUUCCCAAAAAGAAAGAAACUCCACUCACUGUCCCCCUGACUCCUGCCUUUGUUUGGAAGAAGAGAACCUAAAACCCUCCAAGAGGAUGAGGAGCAGCCAGGAGUGGAGAAGAACAUGAAGAACACAACUCAGGCUGAGCCUUCGGCUUGGAGCCUGGAAGAUGUGUCUCAAGGCGCAGACUUGGGUUCUCUCUGUGUCCUGGUGACAAAGAAGGCUCCUCCUGGUGCGAUCAAAAGAGCAGCUCUGGGUCCCAGAUGGUAUCUGCUGCUGAGUCUAGCGGAGGAAUCGGCUGGAGCUCUUGGGUGGUACCCACACAGUCAAGGGCUGCUCACUUACAAAUUCAAGAGCCCUUUGCCGCAAGGGAGGAGCCUUGUUAACCACCUGACAAGGAAGAGACUUGACUGACGGGUCCCUCACCAGAGGCUGUCUGCUGGCUUUGGGAGGAGCUGCUGUUCAGGCACCUUCUUCCCUUGUUGGU